CAAUAGCGUAUAUUAAAGUUGCUGCAGUUAGAACGCUCGUAGUCGGAUUUCGGGGCGGGCCGACCGGUCUGCCGAUGGGUAUGCACUGGUCGGCGCGUCCUUCCUUCCGGAGACCGUCCCUACUCUUAACUGAGCGGGGGCGGGAGACGGGACUUUUACUUUGAAAAAAUCAGAGUGUUUCAAGCAGGCAGCUCGCUCUUGCAUGGAUUAGCAUGGGAUAAUGAAAUAGGACUUUGGUGCUAUUUUGUUGGUUUCGAACACCGAAGUAAUGAUGAGAAGGGACAGUCAGGGGCACUCGUAUUCCGCCGAGAGAGGUGAAAUUCUCAGACCAGCGGAAGACGAACCACUGCGAAAGCAUUUGCCAGGGAUGUUUUCACUGA
rnacentral:rRNA from 1 species